GUAAGCGGGCGAGCGGGCGUCGGGCGCAAUCCCGGCGACGGGAGCGCCUGAGGAAGCUCCACCCUCCUUGGGGCUCCACGGCUCCGGCGACGGAGCGAGGCGAAAGCCUCGGCAACGGCUCAGAGACGAGACCCCCCUUGGCCUAGUGUGGAUGAAACGGUUGAACCGUGGACGAGGCCAAGGGGAGGCUGAAACGGCCGUCCCGUGGGGAGCAAGGCCAAGCAGGGCCGAUGAGAAGCCCCAUGAGGCCCGGGUGGGCCGCUAAGUCGAAUCCCGCUUAAACUGAAGGUGGGCUACGACCCGCUUAC
rnacentral:RNase_P_RNA from 1 species